GUGCCUGUGGCUCAAAGGAGGAGGGCGCUGGCCCCAUAUGCCAGAGGUGGUGGGUUCAAACCCAACCCUGGCCA
rfam:Otolemur garnettii contig036446, whole genome shotgun sequence.